rnacentral:rRNA from 1 species
AUUGAACGCUGGCGGCAUGCCUUACACAUGCAAGUCGAACGGCAGCACGGGAGCAAUCCUGGUGGCGAGUGGCGAACGGGUGAGUAAUAUAUCGGAACGUGCCCGGUCGUGGGGGAUAACGUAGCGAAAGCUACGCUAAUACCGCAUACGAUCUACGGAUGAAAGCGGGGGAUCGCAAGACCUCGCGCGAUUGGAGCGGCCGAUAUCAGAUUAGGUAGUUGGUGAGGUAAAGGCUCACCAAGCCGACGAUCUGUAGCUGGUCUGAGAGGACGACCAGCCACACUGGGACUGAGACACGGCCCAGACUCCUACGGGAGGCAGCAGUGGGGAAUUUUGGACAAUGGGCGCAAGCCUGAUCCAGCCAUGCCGCGUGCAGGAAUAAGGUCCUAUGGAUUGUAAACUGCUUUUAUACAGGAAGAAACACUCCGACGUGUCGGAGCUUGACGGUACUGUAAGAAUAAGGAUCGGCUAACUCCGUG